rnacentral:rRNA from 1 species
UGGGGAAUAUUGCACAAUGGGCGCAAGCCUGAUGCAGCAACGCCGCGUGAACGAUGAAGGUCUUCGGAUCGUAAAGUUCUGUUGCAGGGGAAGAUAAUGACGGUACCCUGUGAGGAAGCCCCGGCUAACUACGUGCCAGCAGCCGCGGUAAUACGUAGGGGGCUAGCGUUAUCCGGAUUUACUGGGCGUAAAGGGUGCGUAGGUGGUCUUUCAAGUCGGUGGUUAAAGGCUACGGCUCAACCGUAGUUAGCCUCCGAAACUGGAAGACUUGAGUGCAGGAGAGGAAAGUGGAAUUUUUAGUGUAGCGGUGAAAUGCGUAGAUAUUAAAAAGAAUACCGGUGGCGAAGGCGACUUACUGGGCUCAUUCUGACGCUGAGGAACGAAAGCGUGGGUAGCAAACAGG